rnacentral:rRNA from 1 species
GACGAACGCUGGCGGCGUGCUUAACACAUGCAAGUCGAACGGAAAGGCCCUGCUUGCAGGGUACUCGAGUGGCGAACGGGUGAGUAACACGUGGGUGAUCUGCCCUGCACUUCGGGAUAAGCUUGGGAAACUGGGUCUAAUACCGGAUAGGAACCAUCUUUAGUGUGGUGGUUGGAAAGUUUUUUCGGUGUAGGAUGAGCUCGCGGCCUAUCAGCUUGUUGGUGGGUAAUGGCCUACCAAGGCGGCGACGGGUAGCCGGCCUGAGAGGGUGUACGGCCACAUUGGGACUGAGAUACGGCCCAGACUCCUACGGGAGGCAGCAGUGGGGAAUAUUGCACAAUGGGCGCAAGCCUGAUGCAGCGACGCCGCGUGGGGGAUGAAGGCCUUCGGGUUGUAAACUCCUUUCGCUAGGGACGAAGCUUUUUGUGACGGUACCUAGAUAAGAAGCACCGGCUAACUACGUG